GUCGGACAGCAUGGUUCGCCAAUCGGGCGAACAUUGCCAGCCCGCAUCCCACAGCACAAGCGUACGGACUUGAUCAAGUUUUCUAACGAGGGGCGGAUACACCAAUAAAGUUUUGAUUCUCAUUUAGUCUUUAUGAUAGUACCAAGGUAUUCCUACAGCAAAAUAAAGAAUGAGCUGAACUGCCCGCCCCUUUCAACGCCAUCGUUUACCUGUAAGAAACAGAUCGAUAUCUAGGCACCGGAAAUGUCUUGGGAGAACCAGUCGACGACCCUCGGGCUAGAGGCCUACAUGUACUCGACCUCCUCCUCGUCUCCUGGCAUCGAGCUGUGUCCAGUGGCGGAUAACUCUAGCAGCAACUUCACGCAGUCGACCUUGUAC